UCAAAACGACGUUUGUGGUCGCACGCGAAACAAUGAGUUCGAGUCCGGAGUGCCCCGCCAAGUGACCAGCUGCCAGCCGCCGAUCGCCGCCGUACUGCGCUAGGUAAGCACCAGCCGCCGAAGUGUUCGAAGAAUGUACGGGAGAACGAGGUGGCGGUAUUCGAGGUGGCGGUAUUCGUCCUACGGGGUAUUUAUAAGGCAUAUGAUAUAUGAGAUAGCACAAGGACAUAUCGGCAAGCCUUAGGUUGGUGUUUACGCGUAUAGGUGUGAAUCGCUAUGGUGACACAUAACCACACUUAAUCUGAUGAUUUCCUAUGCAUUCAAUACCAAGUUCAAUACAUCUGAUUGUAAUAAGCAUAUUGGCCAUACUCUUCAUAUACAUGAAAAUCGUAUCAAUCGUGUAUCACAUAGCACAUUUAAGAGGACUGAUCCUAUAAAGGCAUUUAUUUUUGUUUUCUAUUUAUAACCUCGUUAACUCAUUUAUU